rnacentral:rRNA from 1 species
GACGAACGCUGGCGGCGUGCUUAACACAUGCAAGUCGAACGGCAAGGCCCUGCCUUUGUGGUGGGCUCGAGUGGCGAACGGGUGAGUAAUACAUGAGUACAUUGCCCUUGGUUUUGGGUUACCUUCCGGAAACUGGGUUUAUAACCCAAUCGGACCACCGAUUGAAUGGGGGGGGCUGGAAACCUCCGGCGGUUGGGGUUGGACUCGGGGGUUAUCCGCUUUUGGGUGGGGAAGGGGCUCACAAAGGCUUUGACGGGUAGCCGGCCUGAGAAGGGGACCGGCCACAUUGGGACUGAGAGACGGCGCAGACUCCUACGGGGGGCAGCAGUGGGGAAUAUUGCACAAUGGGCGGAAGCCUGAUGCAGCAACGCCGCGUGCGGGAUGACGGCCUUCGGGUUGUAAACCGCUUUCGCCUGUGACGAAGCGUGAGUGACGGUAAUGGGUAAAGAAGCACCGGCUAACUACGUG